rnacentral:sRNA from 1 species
AAAUAGCCCCGAUGGAAAUGAAAAUCCUCCCGAUUUUUCUUCGGGAGAUUGAAAUGAACAGCGGGACCAAUG